rnacentral:rRNA from 1 species
UACGUAGGGUACAAGCGUUGUCCGGAAUUAUUGGGCGUAAAGAGCUCGUAGGCGGUUUGUCGCGUCUGCUGUGAAAACUCGGGGCUUAACCCUGGGCCUGCAGUGGGUACGGGCAGACUAGAGUGCGGUAGGGGAGACUGGAAUUCCUGGUGUAGCGGUGAAAUGCGCAGAUAUCAGGAGGAACACCGGUGGCGAAGGCGGGUCUCUGGGCCGUAACUGACGCUGAGGAGCGAAAGCGUGGGGAGCGAACAGG